AAAUUUGAUUUGGUUAAAGAGAAAAUUCCCUUAUUUUUUUAUCCAAUUUAUAAACAAAAACAAGUAGAAAAUUUAAUUUUUUAAUAAUUAAUUAUUAUCAAGAAUAAGGGUAAAAUUCUAGCUUAAUUUUG
rnacentral:rRNA from 1 species